UAUGAGGUGCUCGAUUGAAAGUGGGUAGAUUGUAAAUCUAUGAAUAAGUUGUAGGACUUUCUCAUGG
rnacentral:tRNA from 1 species